GGCAUCAAUAGUCAUCCCUACAAUACUGUCGCAAAAUCGAUAUUAAGGUAUUUGGUCAAAUAUUGUGAUACUUGAUUUUGUCCAUAUCGCCCAGCCUUUUUUUAUGUUCAUAAAUUUCUUACUGCUGAGUAUAAUAAUUUAUGUUGGUAAAAUAAACUCCUUCUGUUCCAUCAACUUUGUACUUAUACUGUAUGAAGCUUCCCCAGGAGCUCUGUUUAAGUAUUUUGGAGCUAGAGCACAACCAACGCCACUUGCCCCUGAUACUUCCCCAUGUGCCAAUGUCAGUGAUGAUCUUGCAACUGUACAUUGAGCACUGCAAUCCACCUCCCCAGCUGAUGAUAAUACAGCAGGUCCAUCCUUUGCUGCAGGAAAGGAGCACUUUCCAUCACCUGUAUCAACUGAUCCUUCUGUUUUUUCCAUGUCUUUUUCAACCUCAGCUGAUGUGGCUGGUCCUUCUACUUCUGUGGUCAUCGAUGUCACAUCUACUCCCUCAGCAACACACAUCUGCUCCCUCAGCAACUUCCAGCCUACACCAUGGAUCAGCAGCUCCUCCAGCUGACCCAGCUGAGUGGUAAUCUGUCCUGUGUGACUCAGAAAAGACUGAUUUGGUAAGCAGAGGGCCACUGCCUACAAAGGAAGACUUCACAUUCCCUAAAAAACCUGAUGGCUGAAGCUUCCACUACCACUACACGUACAGCCAAUUAAUUAAUGGGGAAAAUAUCAAGUGGAGCUGGCUCACUUAUUCAGAAAGAAAUGAUGCAGUCUACUGCUUCUGCUGCAAAAUGUUCUCCAGGAAGUCCAAAAAACUGAUAACAGAGGGACAGCGGGAUUGGGUCAAUAUAGAUGGACUACUGAAACAGCAUGAAAAUAGCCCUGAUCAUUGCAACAACAUGGUGAAAUGGAAGGGUUUUGCAUUCCGUCUUUCAAAGGGGAAAACUAUCGAUGAGACAGAAAUGGCCCUCCUGGAGGCAGAAAACAAUUGCUGGAGAGAUAUUCUUGCAGUUAAUUAGUAUUAUUCAGUCCUUGGCAGAAAGGAAUCUCGCACUCAGGGGAUCUGUUGAUACAUUACAUCAGGACAAUGGGAACUUUCUAAAAGAAGUGGAGCUGAUAGCUAAAUUUGAUCAAGUUUUGAAAGAUCAUGUGAGACGAAUUGACAGUGGAGCACAGCAUGUCACAUACAUGAUGAAAACAAUCCAAAAUGAGCUGAUAAGCUGUGUCAGUGACAAAAUAAUGGACAAAAUGGUGGCAGAAACCAAAGAUUGUAAAUAUUAUGCCAUAAUAUUGGAUUGCACCCCAGAUGUUUGUCACCAAGAACAGAUGUCUGUUGUCAUGCGCACUGUAAAUCCUGGCAAAACACCAGAGAUAAAGGAACACUUAUUGGGAUUCUCGUAGCUCCUUAAUCUACUGGUCUAGGCUUGUCCACACUAAUUCUUAACAGGCUUGAGGAAUUGAACUUCCCUUUCCAGGACUGCAGGGGACAUUCUUUUGACAACAGUGCAAACAAGUAGGGCAAAAAAAGGUGUGCAGGCCAGGCUGUUAGUGAAAAGUCCUUGUGCUAUUCAUGUGCCUUGUGGAGCACAUACCUUAAAUUUCAGAUGCUGCUAAAGUGUCCAUGGAUGCCACUUGUUUUUUUUAAAAAUGUGGAUAAACUUUACAGACUCCCUCUGGUUCUGCUCAAAGGUGGGACAUCUUGAAGAAGCAUGUGGACAUCAUACUCAAAUCCUGGAUAGCUCGCAAUGGGUGAGCUGGGUUAACAGUAUUGAACCUUCACGCUAUCAAGCAGACAAGGUGAGAGAAGCUUUGUUAGAAUUGGAUCACUUAGAUUUCAAAUUCACUGCAUGGUCUAGCAUGACAUUCUCUCCCAAAUUAAAACCAAAAGCAAGUUCCUUCAAUCAACCAAUAUGCAGCUUGAUGUGGCAGUGGGCCUCAUUCAGAAAAACAAAGACAGUUUAAUCAGUUACAGGACAACUGGUUUUAAGGAUGCAUAGGUCUCAGCAAAAGAGAUUUGUGAACAAAUGAAUACUUAGGCAGCGCUGAAGGAGAAGAGGAACACUUAUUGGGAAAAGGCACUUUGCCUACGAGGCAGCUGGUGAGCCACAAGCUGAUGCAAUGAAGAGACUGGAAUCAUACUUUUUUACUGCUGUGGUAGACUGUAGCAUCCAGUCUUUGGAGGACUGCUUUCAGUCUCUGGGAGAAGUUAGAGACAACUCCUGAAUGCUUCUCAACUUUAGGCAGCUUGAUGCACAGAUACGGAGGGACCAGUGUACGCGUCUUGGAGACAAAUUCAUCUGUGGAGAAGAGGCUGAUAUUGACGGGAGUGCACUGGCUACAUAGAUGGAGAGCCUUCCAGAACUCCCCACAGCAAAGGUGACCAUAUUUGAGCCUCUGACUUACCUCUCUCAAAAUGAGAUCUGUGAGUUGUACCCAAAUCUUUUGGUAGCUCUUCGGAUGGCCUGUACUGUCCCUGUGACACAGGGAAAGUGCAGGCUCAAAUUGAGCUCAAAAUGAUCAAGAACUACUUGAGAUCUUCCACAGCACAAGAAAGACUGAGUGGACUUGCACUAAUUAGUAUCAACAACAAAGUUGGCUGUCAGAUCUCUUACAGUGAUGUCAUAAAUGACUUUGCCUCCAGAAAAGCAAAAGCAAGCUGAGGCAGCAGAGAGCGACUGCGCUAUUGACCAACAAAAACCUGGUCUGAAAUCAAUGGCGCAGUGUCUCACUGUUAUUUUAAGGGCGCAUUAUCAAGACAGCAAUAUGCGCCUACAUAGGCGGGUGCACAACACACAUGCACUCUGCCUUUUACACACACCAGGAUGUGCAGCAGUGCACAAACAUGCAAAAGA